GAUGAACGCUGGCGGCGUGCUUAACACAUGCAAGUCGAGCGAACAGACGAGGUGCUUGCUCCUCUGACGUUAGCGGCGGACGGGUGAGUAACAAGUGGAUAACCUACCUAUCAGCCUGGGAUGACUUCGGGACACCGGAGCUACUACCGGAUAAUAUAUUGAACCUGACGGUUUAAUGGUGAGAGACGGCUUUGGUGUCACUUAUGGAUUGUUCCGCGCCGCAUCAGCUAGUUGGUAAGGUAACGGCUUACCAAGGCCACGAUGCGUAGCCGACCUGAGCGGGUGAUCGGCCACACUGGAACUGAGACACGGUCCAGACUCCUACGGGAGGCAGCAGUAGGGAAUCUUCCGCAAUGGGCGAAAGCCUGACGGAGCAACGCCGCGUGAGUGAUGAAGGUCUUCGGAUCGUAAAACUCUGUUAUUAGGGAAGAACAAAUGUGUAAGUAACUAUGCACGUCUUGACGGUACCUAAUCAGAAAGCCACGGCUAACUACGUG
rnacentral:rRNA from 1 species